UACGAAGGGUGCAAGCGUUAAUCGGAAUUACUGGGCGUAAAGCGUGCGUAGGUGGUUUGUUAAGUCUGCUGUGAAAACUCGGGGCUUAACCCCGGGCCUGCAGUGGGUACGGGCAGACUAGAGUGCGGUAGGGGAGACUGGAAUUCCUGGUGUAGCGGUGAAAUGCGCAGAUAUCAGGAGGAACACCGGUGGCGAAGGCGGGUCUCUGGGCCGUAACUGACGCUGAGGAGCGAAAGCGUGGGGAGCGAACAGG
rnacentral:rRNA from 1 species